CGUGCAGGCGGGAAGGUAAGUCUGAUGUGAAAGCCCUGGGCUCAACCCGGGAAGUGCAUUGGAUACUGCUUUUCUUGAGUACUGGAGAGGAAGGGGGAAUUCCCGGUGUAGAGGUGAAAUUCGUAGAGAUCGGGAGGAAUACCAGUGGCGAAGGCGCCCUUCUGGACGGUUACUGACGCUGAGACGCGAAAGCGUGGGGAGCAAACA
rnacentral:rRNA from 1 species